rnacentral:lncRNA from 1 species
GUACAGGGUCCUCCUCCACUCCCUCAUACACUACACAUUUCUGCUCUGUGCUCGGUGUGCUAUUGGAUAGUGGGGUGUUACGCAUUUCCUGGCUUUCUGAGGCACCAAGGCCACCAGCAUCUUCGCCCCACGGUUGCCUCGGCAAUUCAUUCUCUUUGUGUCCACCACUAAGUGAGUCCUCUGAGGAGACUGUCCUCAGGAGAGGCAGAAUAAUAGGCUUUAUUACUGGGGUGGCCCUGAGUGUGUUGUCUUUAAUUGGGAACAGUCUGUGCUUGUUGGUAGAAGCUGGCAAGGGGGUUGGGUCCUUGGCAUGUGAAAGAGCUGUGUCCUUAUCAGCCCCCGUCCAAGAGCCUCUAACGCUGACUUCCUCAGCUGAUGCUUUCCUGGGUCUUCCUCCCAAAACACCUUGUGCUUUUCUUUGUGUUUCCUUCUGUCUGUGCUCCUCCACACCAUUAUGUAAGGCACAUUGUUGUGGCUCUUCUUUCUCUACCUCGGUCUCCUUCUCGUCCUUCUGAUUGUCACCUAAACUCACAUGACUCUUCCCAUCUUCCCGGGGGCCUUCCGUAAACCACAUCUUCUGCUGAUCUUCAAAAGAAGCAAAGGAUUGAUCUGAAGAACUGGUGCUGAAUUUAGCCUUUGUUUGGACGCACGGGGUAAAAUCCGAUUGGCUGUCGCUGUAAAACACAUCCUCCUCCUCAGGGGAAAGGGGUCCUGGGGAGAACUUCUGGCUCACGGGUAGAUUCUGGAACCCCAUUUCUCGCUCAGGCUCUGUCUCUUGGGAGAUGGAUCUCGAGAGCCUCUUCUCCAGCUGACGGGGCUUCAUUUUCUCCGUAGCCUGUCCCGUUUCAGAGUCCCUGUUGCAGAGUUUCAGGGAGAGAUGUUUCCGGGGAAGGUUUUCCCUGGAGUCUGGAUGCCAGCCACCCUCGGAGAGACCCUGCUCUGACUCUCCAUUGGCUUCUUCCUUCUCAUGACUGUUCCUUUCUGCAGCUUCCCCAUUGAUGCUGAAGUGGGUUUUGGAGCUAGCUGAAGGUGAACUGAAGGUCGGGUGGCUGUCUGCAAAGGAUUCU